AUUAGAGGUGACGCCUGCCCGAUGGUUUAUCCUAAGUUAAUCACCAUUAACAAACCUGAACUCAAUGGCCGCGGUAUUUCUGACCGUGAUAAUGUAGCGAAAUCAAUCGUCACUUAAUUGCUGACCCGUAUCAAAGGUAUUACGAAUGUUCCCCUGUCUCAAGAAAAACCCCUGUGAAAUUGAAGAGGCCGUGCAUAUGCGGCCUGAUCUCCUGUAAGACGAAAAGACCCUAUUGAGCUUUACUAUAACCUUUUCUCAAAACCCUAAGGAAAUGAGCAACCCUCUAACCUUAGUCUUAGGAAAGGCUGGUAGUUUCGUUGGGGCGACGACCUUUCAAAAAGUAACAAAGGUUAGCGAUGGUUUUCUAUUUAAUGAAUCUUAGCCUGACUGUUUGGCCUAUAAGCCUACCAGACACCUUCGUGAGCCAUAAUUUUCCAUUUUAAGGGAAACCUUAAAAUGCCAUGAUAUAAAAGUUACCAUAGGGAUAACAGCGUAAUUUUGUCGAAGAGCUCUUAUCGAUGACAAAGAUUGCGACCUCGAUGUUGAAUUGUGGUAUCCUGGGGGUGUAGCCGCUCCC
rnacentral:rRNA from 1 species